UUGAACGCUGGCGGCAUGCUUUACACAUGCAAGUCGAGCGGCAGCGCGGGGGCAACCCUGGCGGCGAGCGGCGAACGGGUGAGUAACACAUCGGAACGUACCCAGUAAUGGGGGAUAACUAAUCGAAAGGUUAGCUAAUACCGCAUACGCCCUGAGGGGGAAAGUGGGGGAUCGCAAGACCUCACGUUAUUGGAGCGGCCGAUGUCGGAUUAGCUAGUUGGUGAGGUAAAGGCUCACCAAGGCGACGAUCCGUAGCGGGUCUGAGAGGACGACCCGCCACACUGGAACUGAGACACGGUCCAGACUCCUACGGGAGGCAGCAGUGGGGAAUUUUGGACAAUGGGCGCAAGCCUGAUCCAGCCAUGCCGCGUGAGUGAAGAAGGCCUUCGGGUUGUAAAGCUCUUUCGGCAGGAACGAAACGGUGAGGGCUAAUAUCCCUUGCUAAUGACGGUACCUGAAGAAGAAGCACCGGCUAACUACGU
rnacentral:rRNA from 1 species